rnacentral:rRNA from 1 species
UGCAAGUCGAACGCAGUAGCAAUACUGAGUGGCAAACGGGUGAGUAUAAUGUGGGAAUCUGCCUUUUGGUUCAGAAUAACACGGGGAAACUUGUGCUAAUACUGGAUAAGCCCUUACGGGGAAAGUUUUAACGCCGAAAGAUGAGCCUGCACUUGAUUAGCUAGUUGGUAGGGUAAAGGCUUACCAAGGCAAUGAUCAAUAGCUGUUCUUAGAGGAAGACCAGCCACAUUGGGACUGAGACACGGCCCAGACUCCUACGGGAGGCAGCAGUGGGGAAUCUUGCACAAUGGGGGAAACCCUGAUGCAGCGAUGCCGCGUGAGUGAAGAAGGCCCUUGGGUUGUAAAACUCUUUCGUCGGGGAAGAAAAUGACUGUACCCGAAUAAGAAGGUCCGGCUAACUUCGUGCCAGCAGCCGCGGUAAUACGAAGGGACCUAGCGUAGUUCGGAAUUACUGGGCUUAAAGAGCUCGUAGGUGGUUAAAAAAGUUGAUGGUGAAAUCCCAAGGCUCAACCUUGGAACUGCCAUCAAAACUUUUUAGCUAGAGUGUGAUAGAGGUAAGUGGAAUUUCUAGUGUAGAGGUGAAAUUCGUAGAUAUUAGAAAGAACACCAAAUGCGAAGGCAACUUACUGGGUCACUACUGACACUGAGGAGCGAAAGCAUGGGUAGCGAAGAGGAUUAGAUACCCUCGUAGUCCAUGCCGUAAACGAUGUGUGCUAGACGUUGGAAAUAUAUUUUCCAGUGUCGCAGCGAAAGCAUUAAGCACACCGCCUGGGGAGUACGACCGCAAGGUUAAAACUCAAAUGAAUUGACGGGGACCCGCACAAGCAGUGGAGCAUGUGGUUUAAUUCGAAGAUACGCGCAGAACCUUACCAACACUUGACAUGUUCGUCGCGAAACUAAGAGAUUAGUUUCUUCAGUUCGGCUGGACGAAACACAGGUGCUGCAUGGCUGUCGUCAGCUCGUGUCGUGA